rnacentral:lncRNA from 1 species
AGUGGAGGAGCAGCUGGGGAAAGGAGCAGGGUCAUGGCUCCCUGCCCGUGGUGUUGCCUCUGAGGUGCUGUGUGAGGGCAGGCAUCUUCGCCCCUCUCUGGGCCUCGGGACCAUAUCACCCCUUCUGGGGGUAUUGGUUCAUCUUGAAUCCCUCCCCCUUCCAGCUCAGGCCUGCUGGAAUGGGCUGCCCCAGAGCGAAGGGAGGAAUAGUCUCUGUCUCCUCCCCACCCGCACUCCACACAGGUGUGAAUCAGCCCAGAGGAGAGUGGCUCUGACACGAGGGGGCACAACGCGAAGACUUGGGGUGUCGAGUCUCUGGGAGGAAGUCCUGAGCACCUACUGUGCGCUGAGCUCGUGGACAGUGUGGACGUCCUCUCUUCCCAUCUGCAACCACCUGCUGUGAGUGCCCUCCUCUGAAACGAGGUUCAGAGUGGGCAGUGACUCGCCUAAGGCCACACAGCCCAGCCAGUGCCUGUGGAGGGAAGCCCAACUGCGGCUGGUUCUUGCUCCUGGAACUUUCUGGCCCCAUCUUAUACGCCUCAAGCCCCUCACUGUGAGCUCAGAACCCCCCUCCUUGGGGACCAGGAGAGGCUGGGGAUGGUGGGCAGACAGGAAGGAAGGGGUGGGGGUGCAGAGCCAGCCUCCAUACCCCCUAACUCAUAUCACAGAGUCCAGGGGUCGACAGGGACAGGGAAAGCUCCCCUUCCGUGCCCCUAUCAUGAGUUAAGCCAUUCUCCCACCGUCCUGCUGUUAAUCUUUAAACGGCCCAAUGAUUAAUUAAUUACCCAAGACCCACAGGGACUCGGUUGAGUGCCCCUGGUAUCUGCGACCAGGGCACCCUCUCUGCAGUACCCCGGUCUCCCAGCCCCUGAUGAGAGCAAGGAGAAACACAGACGAGGCCCGCCAAACUCACAGACACAGGCAAGGAUGCGACUGUCACCGGUCCAGCAAACCCUGCUCUGUCCUGGGCCCUGGGCCACAGCACAGCCUGCAGGAGACAGGCAAGGCACGGUCAGGAAAGAAGACAGAACCCCAGAGGCCAGGCGGGGCUAGGAGGGCUCCUCCCAGCCCCAGUGGACCCUGCCGCGGCACACUGGGGGGUCUGGUGUCUCUGUGUCCUUGGGGCACUGGCGGGGGGAUCUGAGCCCAGUGUCUGCUGACUGGUUCUGACCCCCUCUGCCCCUCUGCCAGUCUGAGUCUCAGUUUCCCUCAUCUGUGCACAGGGCUGGUCAUUUCCCGCUCUCCUCUCAGGGUGAGCUGGGGAGAAUGAAGAGCCACUCUGGCAGAGGCACUGGGGCUGCCCUAACAGGUGUGGAGGAGGCUGGGGAGGUUCUUGCUGAGCAGCAGUGGGACAGGCCACAUGGUUCCUAAUUCAGGAGGUGACCCUGGCCAAGCCCUUUCUUCUCUGUCAGCCUCGGUUUCCCUAUUGAUAAAAAAAGGGGUUGGAGACCCAGUGUGGUGGCUCAUGCCUGUAAUCCCAGCACUUUGAGAGGCCGAGGUAGGUGGAUCACUUGAGGUCAGGAGUUUGAGACCAGCCUGGCCAACAUGGUGAAACCCCGUCUCUACUAAAAGUACAAAAAUUAGCCGGGCGUCGUGGCGGGCGCCUGUAAUCCCAGCUACUCAGGAGGCUGAGGCAGGAGGAUCACUUGAUUCCAGGAGGCAGAGGUUGCAGUGAGACGAGAUUGUGCCACUGCAUUCCAGCCUGGACAACAGAGCAAGCCUCUGUCUCAAAAACAAAACAAAACCCCAAAAUGAGGGGUUGGGAUCUGUGACUGCCCAGGACCCUUGAGGAGCCUGUCAUGGGCAAGUGGGCCGCUGGUACCAGGCAGAGCUCCCAGUCCACUGUCCCCCACUCCCUAGCCCUGCCAUGCUCCAAGGUGCCCAGCUCCUACCCGGAGCAAGUGCUGGGCUGGGAACGUCGGCCAUCACCUCGCCAUUGACUCAGGGAGGCUCACCAUCUGGAGGCCUGAGGAUGCCACAGCAACUUCCAGCCUGGUCAGCAGGGCAGGUAUCAGAGGCGUCCACCCUGCCAUGCUGACGAUUUCCACCUCAUUGCCGAGGGGCCCCCUGGGCCUCCCAGAAAACUGGAGUCAUUGACCCUGGGAGGCAGAGGAUCUUUGAAGACAACUUGUCUUCUGGGAUUUUAGAACUUUUUGAAAGUUAAAAUGAGGUCAGACACAGUGACUCAUGCCUGUAAUCCCAGCACUUUGGGAGGCUGAGGUGGGAGGAUCGCUUGAGGCCAGGAGUUCCAGACUAGAAUGGGCAACAUAGUGAGACCCUGUCUCUAAAAUAAUUUUAAAAAUUAGCCAAGCGUGGUGGUGCAUACCUGAAAUCCUAGCUACUUGGGAGGCUGAAGAGGGAGGAUCGCUUGAGCCCAGGAGUUUGAGACCAGCCUGGGCAACAGAGUGAGACUCCAUCACUACAAAAAAUAAAUUAAAGAAAAUUAGCCGAGUGUGGUGGCGAAUGUCUAUAGUUUCAGCUACUCAGCAGGGCUGCGGUGGGAGGAUCAUUUGAACCCAGGAGGCCAAGGCUGCAGUGAGCCAUGACUGUGCCACUGCACUCCAGCCUGGGUAACAGACACCCUGUCUCA